AAAGGUGAGCCAUCAGUUGCAAGGAUGCGUUUGAAGAGAACAGAAUUUCUCCCCCCGAGACUCGAAAUCCGACAUUACGAAGAUUCAGUGUGAGUUGCAAGGUUCGUUUUUCUGUGUCGAGGUGAGAAUCGUAUCCGUCUGCCAAUCGGAUAGAUUAUUGAGAUCAAUUUCAAGGACCGGCGCUUGGACCGUAGCGAGAUCCAGUACGCUCCUCAAUUCGAUCUACAGAGUAUGGCAUCAUUCGUUUGCAUGAAAUGGGCACUAAUAAAUUGUUCCUCAGUACCCACAAGUGGCGAAGAGUUUUUUAAAAAGGCGUGUGUAUCAGAUCGCCCAGAAUCGCGACCCACAUCCUCCCAAGGGAACCACAAAUGGAACCUGACAGCACGAGACAUGGCAAGUCCACUGGGAAAGAUUGUGGCCCACCUUUUUCGCGGCUUGCCAUAUAUGGCCGUGAAUCCUCUGACGAAUCCAAACAUUCUUCGUCCCUGGACACUGCUCUUAUCGAUGCGCAAGAUCAGCUCAGACCAUAAAGCAUCGCUUGCAAGUUGCAUGGGAUAGUUGGACUUCAGUCGAGUCCUGAAUAGUUAAAAAAACCUAUUCCCUACCACAUGUGUUGUGCGCUAGACAUGCAGUUCUGAAGUUGGCUAGAGGGUUAGAGUGUCGGGCAUUGAUCUUAAGUUUUGAGUGUGAUCUGUGGUGAGAAUUAUGCAUUGAACUUCUUCGGUGCUGUGGAGUCGGUGAUGAUUGCUUUUGCAACCAUGGUGUAGUCAGGAUUAAUUUAGACCUCGCUUCCAUGUUUUUUUUUUCUUUUCUUUUGUAACCCUUGCAGAUUUGUGGCUUUUGUACGUCUCAAAUGGGCAGCUUGUAUUGUUGAGGGGUGCAAUCAGUGGUAAAGACUGAAUGUGAGGCACGUAAGAUUUGGAUGUCAGUCUCAUUUGCACCCUGUUUUUCUCUUGAGGUAAUCGAUUGACGCCUUAGUGGACGCUCUCACGGUCUCUCUCUUUCAUUCUUUCUUUCUUUCUCAGCUAGCAUGUCUAACAUUAUUUUCUCUAUAGUUGGUUGCGAUCGGUUACAAUCCUACACAAUUUUUUAGAGCAUUGUUAGUCCUGGUCUCAGAUCGUUCCAUCGACUCGCUUUGGAGAUUUUUUUCCAUCACGAUUCAGCACUAUCUCUCUCUCUCUCUCUCUCUCUCUCUCUCUCGCUCUCUCUCUUUCUCUCUGAUUCGCCAUAUCCAGUGUCGAUACCUUAAGCAUUGAUCCAAAUUCCUGCCCAAUCUGUUCCCUUGGUUUUGGUUCUUGUGUUUAUUGUGAUUCUUCCAUUCGGAGUUAGCAAUGUACGAGUAUGUCUUGCACGUAGGGUUGCCAAUGGAACUCCAGUACUCAAAAUCUUAUGAGGCUGACGCUGAAGUGGCAGGAUCCUAUGUGGAUUGGGGGAUUUUGAGCAAGGAGAUUAUGGAGCAAAUCUUCGCUCGAUUGCCCAUCAAGGAAGCUGUUCGGGCCAGUUGCGUUUGCAAGCACUGGCAAUCGAUCGUCUUCUCGCGCAGCUUCGUGACCUUCAUCUUGAAAUUCAAAAUUCCUAGGCGUUGAUCCAUUGCACAGGGGAUUAGGAGUAUUCGCGAUGGUGCAUCUGUGAUCAGGGGGUUCUCAUCCUGUACACUUGCCGUCGCGUGCACCCAACAGCGCAUGAUUUCUUGUAAUUAUGAGGACGUAGUCGGCCAUGUUGAAUGCAAUGAGAGGAGAGUAGCUUGUUCAAACCCCAAAUCCGCCAGUCAACUUGGCUCUAUUCUGGCACCUUUUUUCCUUGCGAUCUCAUCCAGAAGGGUUUGCGGGAAUCGUGUCACCGCAACAUGAAAACUCUUCCGACAAAUCUUAUACUGUAUUGCAACGCAAUCUCGCCAAGGGCUUUCCAGUACUCUUCCUGUGAGUCGCCCUGCACAAGCAAUCAAAGAUUACAACUGUGUAGCUUCACAAAUCAAGGUUCACAUGGGUUCUCGUCCAGAACUGUAAUGUAGCCUUACAAAUCAAUGCAAAGUUUGAUAAGUAAUAGACGUUACGAUCAAGUGCGAAAGCCAUACGCCGAAGCAAGUGUUGAAUCCCGAAGAGCAGACAUUGAACGCACACAAGUUCACAGCAUGUUGGUAGAGAACCAUGCACAAAUCUAUGCGGUUUUAUAUGCAAAGUUAGAACUAUUCUGAAAUGGGGAUAUCUUUCCACAUCAGAAAAUUGCAUUUUCGGAAGAACUUUGGUCUUCGAUUUUGGUGUGGAUUUGUAAAUAGUCAAUUUAGACCACUAUUGAAAUGAUGUAUCUCAUUUGCUGAUGCAUUUUUGGUAAAAUUUUAGUAAUUUGGAAUUCUCAAAA